UUACGGCCAUAUCACGUUCAAACACCGGUUCCCGUACGAUCACCGAAGUUAAACAACAUUGAGCCUUGUCAGUACCUCGACAGUUGAGCCCUCGGGAAAGCCAAAUGAUGUAA